rnacentral:rRNA from 1 species
GAUGAACGCUGGCGGCGUGCCUAAUACAUGCAAGUCGAGCGAACGGACGAGAAGCUUGCUUCUCUGAUGUUAGCGGCGGACGGGUGAGUAACACGUGGAUAACCUACCUAUAAGUCUGGGAUAACUUCGGGAAACCGGAGCUUAUACCGGAUAAUAUUUUGAACCGCAUGGUUCAAAAGUGAAAGACGGUCUUGCUGUCACUUAUAGAUGGAUCCGCGCUGCAUUAGCUAGUUGGUACGGUAACGGCCUACCAAGGCUAGGAUGCAUAGCCGACCUGAGAGAGUGAUCGGCCACACUGGAACUGAGACACGGUCCAGACGCCUACGAGAGGCAGCAGAAGGGAAUCGUCCGCAAUGGGCGGAAGCCUGACGGAGCAACGGCGCGUGAGUGAUGACGGUCUUCGGAUCGUAAAACUCUGUUAUUAGGGAAGAACAUAUGUGUAAGUAACUGUGCACAUCUUGACGGUAACUAAUCAGAAAGCCACGGCUAACUACGUG